rnacentral:tRNA from 3 species
GAGGCAAUUUAAAAUUGAACUUCUAACUCAAUAUUUAAUAGUUAAUUAACUAUUUUGCCUCU